UUUCCGUAGGUGAACCUGCGGAAGGAUCAUUAACGUAUCUCUGACGGCGAGGGUGCUCCCCGCUCCGGACUUAUUGGCCCUGCAGCGGGCCACCCCGAGCCGCUCACCCUUUGCAAACCCCACUGUGCACUUUUGUCGGCAAACGGCCCUCAACGUCCCGAGCCGGCCCACAAACAAUCCUUUCCAUAAACAACUGUGGCCGCUGUUCCGCCUACGCUUUAGCAACUUUCAACCACGGAUCGCUUGGCUCUCGCCUCGAGUCAGAACGCAGCAGAUCGG
rnacentral:misc_RNA from 1 species